GACUCCAUCUAAACCAAUGCCCGUGGCACUGGCAUUCAACCUACUCGUCUCCAUUUAUUUGUGCACCUAAUUCAGUCUAGGUCUGAAUCUUUACAGAACUGCAUGGUACUCCUCACCGACGGCAUCAGGCCACAGCUUGAAAGCUUCUGGGGUAGUCAGUGAUGUCUUUUAGCUGCUCCAUAAAGGGUCACCUAAGGAAAAGCAAUUGCAUGCUUAACAUCUGGGAAAAAUAUUCCCUGUUGGGUCCUGUUUACAUUUGCAUCUUGAAUGACUUGGAUUUAUUGUUUUAAACCAAGUUUCCUGCCUGUAACAGAAUCAUUAAGAGAGCUCUUAGUUUUUAUUGGGAACACAUGUAUGCUCAUAAGUGCCUAGUCAGAGGUGCCCAGGAGAAGGACAGCACAUUUUAAUCACAUGUCUCUCCCUGUUUAGGCUUUGGCAAGUUGCUUUAUCUGUAUACGUUUUGGCGACUUGACUUUAAAAUGGGGCUGGCACAAAUAAACAAUUUUCCAAGGAUGUGUGAAUUAACCAGUGGUUGUAGAGAGCUUUGAAAUGAUGAUGUGCUAUCAAUGCUAAGUCAAAUUAUGAAAUUGCACCUUUGCAAAAAUGCUAUUGUGGAAAUAAAUGAAUCUGAACAUUG